CCCUCUCCAAGCAUUCUAGAUGCUUGAUAGAUGCUGUACUUCUUGUAAUAAACCUUUUCUUUAAGCAAGCAAGACGGUGUCAUCUGGAGUCUUCUUCAUCACCUUCACAUCAUCGCUAUUUAAUAAACAACAACAGUCAUAUAAACAAUAACAAAAAAAAAACAGACCUAUAUUAAAAAGUUUUUUGGGGGGACAUUAGAACAUGAACAUGUCCUGCAAAUGUCUGUCCCCUCUGUUCCUACUUAACACUGUUCUCUGUCUCUCUGUCUCUUUUCUCAGCCCUUGUGUGUGUAUUUCUCCAGUGUCCACCGCAAAUCCACUAAAUACAGUCUGUGGGCAACAAGUCAGAGACACGUUAAGUGCAGAGCCCUUGAAUAGAGAGUCGCGUCAUCUCCAUUCACUCUAAUGGGCCAUUUUUUCACAGCAAUGGCGGUUCGCGGAGCCUCUCAAUAGUUCCCGGAUGUAAGCGGCACAUGCUAGCAGCGCAAUGGAGUUACAGCAGAAAAGACCGGCUGUGAUGUACUUUUAACGGGAGCACUGGGUGGUGGCGGAGCAGUGAUGCUGCAGGACCACUGUGUGAGAGAGGACGCUGCAGAUAAGUGCUGAGUCGACCUUGGUGAGACUUAAAACUUAACAAGCACAAGAACAACAGGGGGAUUCAAUGGAGCCUGAACUCACCCCGCAAUGAAACAACCCCCUUACCCUGAGUCUCAACUCCGUGGGUUUUGCAAGCCUUUCCCUGUUCCUUAUUUUUAAUAAACCAAACACUGAGCUUCCCAA